ACCACCCUGGAGGCAGGAGGACAGCUGUCCCACUUUCUCCUCGUCCUCACUGGGCUAAGAAACGUGGAGAUUUUAAUAAGAUCAUAAAGAAGAGUGACAUGGACUGGCGUGAUAGGUAGUGUUCAUUAGCAUUCAGAAUGCCUGGGAUAAUAAAUUAGAGCAAUUGAGCAGAAAUGGGCAAUUUGAUUAUUCAACAUUUUUCAACAUCAACCCAAGCAGCUGGACCUGGAGCACGUCUGCUGACUUCUCCCCACGUAACCGGGUCGACGGGCCACAGGGUUUAAAGGUAGGUGGAUAAUUGCCCGAAGUUGGCGGCCACCCUCAUGCCCAGUAAGAUUUACAUGUGGGUGGAAGAUGGUGCAUCAGAAACAACAGAGGAUGGCCCAGUUUCUACCUGUCAUCACCUUUUCAUGUCUUUGCCACCAUAUUCCCAGUUAAUCCACGGGACAAAAAAAUGCUACCAGGAGUGUGGUGUGUAUAUACAUGACAGCUUGGACUGACUGCCCUUUGGAAGUUCCUCCAAAAACAAUGAUUAAAGUCAAAUUGGAAAACCUAAA